GAUGAACGCUGGCGGCGUGCUUAACACAUGCAAGUCGAACGGAAAGGCUCCUGCUUGCAGGGGUACUCGAGUGGCGAACGGGUGAGUAACACGUGGGUGAUCUGCCCUGCACUUCGGGAUAAGCCUGGGAAACUGGGUCUAAUACCGGAUAGGACCACAUUUUGGAUGGUGUGGUGGAAAGUUUUUCGGUGUGGGAUGAGCUCGCGGCCUAUCAGCUUGUUGGUGGGGUAAUGGCCUACCAAGGCGUCGACGGGUAGCCGGCCUGAGAGGGUGUACGGCCACAUUGGGACUGAGAUACGGCCCAGACUCCUACGGGAGGCAGCAGUGGGGAAUAUUGCACAAUGGGAGCAAGCCUGAUGCAGCGACGCCGCGUGGGGGAUGACGGCCUUCGGGUUGUAAACUCCUUUCGCUAGGGACGAAGCGUUUUUGUGACGGUACCUGGAGAAGAAGCACCGGCUAACUACGUG
rnacentral:rRNA from 1 species